rnacentral:rRNA from 1 species
GACGAACGCUGGCGGCGUGCCUAAUACAUGCAAGUAGAACGCACAGUUUAUACCGUAGCUUGCUACACCAUAGACUGUGAGUUGCGAACGGGUGAGUAACGCGUAGGUAACCUGCCUGGUAGCGGGGGAUAACUAUUGGAAACGAUAGCUAAUACCGCAUAAUAUUAAUUAUUGCAUGAUAAUUAAUUGAAAGGUGCAAUUGCACCACUACCAGAUGGACCUGCGUUGUAUUAGCUAGUAGGGGAGGUAACGGCUCACCUAGGCGACGAUACAUAGCCGACCUGAGAGGGUGAUCGGCCACACUGGGACUGGGACACGGCCCAGACUCCUACGGGAAGCAGCAGUAGGGAAGCUUCGGCAAUGGACGAAAGUCUGACCGAGCAACGCCGCGUGAGUGAAGAAGGUUUUCGGAUCGGAAAGCUCUGUUGUAAGAGAAGAACGGGUGUUAGAGUGGAAAGUUCACACUGUGACGGUACCUUACCAGAAAGGGACGGCUAACUACGUG